AGUGAACGCUGGCGGUAGGCCUAACACAUGCAAGUCGAACGGCAGCACAGUAGGAGCUUGCUCUUACGGGUGGCGAGUGGCGGACGGGUGAGGAAUACAUCUGAAUCUACUUUUUCGUGGGGGAUAACGCAGGGAAACUUACGCUAAUACCGCAUACGACCUACGGGUGAAAGCAGGGGAUCUUCGGACCUUGCGCGAUUGAAUGAGCCGAUGUCGGAUUAGCUAGUUGGCGGGGUAAAGGCCCACCAAGGCGACGAUCCGUAGCUGGUCUGAGAGGAUGAUCAGCCACACUGGAACUGAGACACGGUCCAGACUCCUACGGGAGGCAGCAGUGGGGAAUAUUGGACAAUGGGCGCAAGCCUGAUCCAGCCAUACCGCGUGGGUGAAGAAGGCCUUCGGGUUGUAAAGCCCUUUUGUUGGGAAAGAAAAGCAGCAGGUUAAUACCCCGCUGUUCUGACGGUACCCAAAGAAUAAGCACCGGCUAACUUCGUG
rnacentral:rRNA from 1 species